rnacentral:rRNA from 1 species
AUACGUAGGUGGCGAGCGUUGUCCGGAAUUACUGGGUGUAAAGGGCGUGUAGGCGGGGGAGCAAGUCAGAUGUGAAAGCCCAUGGCUUAACUGUGGAAUUGCAUCUGAAACUGUUCUUCUUGAGUGCUGGAGAGGAAAGUGGAAUUCCUAGUGUAGCGGUGAAAUGCGUAGAGAUUAGGAGGAACACCAGUGGCGAAGGCGGCUUUCUGGACAGUAACUGACGCUGAGGCGCGAAAGCGUGGGGAGCAAACAGGAUUAGAUACCCUGGUAGUCCACGCUGUAAACGAUGGAUACUAGGUGUGGGAGGUAUCGACCCCUUCCGUGCCGGAGUUAACACAAUAAGUAUCCCACCUGGGGAGUACGGCCGCAAGGUUGAA